GAUAGUGAGCCUCUUGCCGUCUUCCGAGGUGAAUCUGGGCUGAGGUGAGAUGGUCUCGUGGAGCUAUGGUAGUACAGAGAGUCCGUGACUCUGACAGCCUCACACUCCUGUCCCCAGGACACAAUCUGCCAAGGUUGUCCUGGACACUAUGAGUCUCUAAUGAAGAGCAAUCGGGCCGACCAAGGCAGGGAGAAGGAGAGAGCCAAGAUAACACGGCAGUGCCCUGAAGAGACGAGAUUUGCGGAAAAGCACUGUGUCCUUGUACUGUGUGGUGGAGCCAGGAGUUCUAAGCUGGCACCAAAGGUCGUUUGGGUUUGCCUCUGGAGACAUCUAUCAAGAGUGGGGGGCUAUCCCUCUCCCAGUACUCCUGAUCUCUGCAUAAAUGGGAUUGAAUUGGAGUAUCCAUUUGGAACAAUAAGUACUAAGAAACUGUAUUUUUCCGAAGCACCUGCAUAGCCAUUACAUAUAUGUUAUCUUUACAACAAGGACAUGCAACAUUUGUUGUAAAGGGUUGGUUGUUAAAAAUAAAAAUAUUUUUCUUUGUUUUAUCCCUAAUUAAAUAGUACUCAAGGAAGUGUUUGCUUCAUGCAAAUAACACACCAUUUUAUUUCCGGUUUUACUCUGUUCACCCAUGUUACUUUUCUGGUCCUCACAGGCAGCUAUGACUUUUUUUCCUUGUAUGACAAUGCUCACUCAAAUUAUUUUUGUUGCUACUUUGUAAGUGUAAUUCUGCUACUGUUAUGAAUCAUAAUGUGAGUGUCUGAUACACAGGUAUCUGGUAUGUGACACCCCCCAAGGGUCACAACCCACAGGUUGAGAACAGUCGUUCUAGAAGACAGAGGCUCAAUUCCCAGCACUCACAUGGAGGCUGUCCAGUGCCUUUCCAUCUGCAACUCCAGUUUCAGGGGGAGCCAAUGACCUCUUUUGGCUGCUGCAGGGGACAGCUUCUGAUCCCUACUUCCAGUGAGCCCUUCUGUUGGAAGAUUUCUCUUAGGCAGUAUUCAUGCCAAUCAGGAGGUGCUGGGGCCAGCAGGAGUGCUGGAAGCAAAUACUCCCACCCCUUGUGUAUGAGCCCUAAGCAUCUUCCAGCCAAUUUACCUUAAGAAAUAGUAUGUAAAUGUCCCACUCCUGGGGUCUCCUGACUUUGAUUCAUUAUUCUACAACAUGUCUCAGAGUUCCUAUGAAUCUAGGCUCUAGCUGUCCACAGUGAUAACAGGCUGGUGAUGCCCCGUGUUGGUUCCAUUCUUCCAUGUCAUUUUUUUUUUAAUGUCACUCUGGUACCCUCUUUUCCUGCAGAUAAAUGAUCACAUUUAAAUGUGCCUCUGGGGUAACCGGGCAAAGUGAGAAUAUUCUCCCAUGUCUCCCACAGCUCUGAGUACACAGUCAGCACCUGAUAAAUCCUCAAAGCAAACAGAAAUGAACUUUCAGAACCGUCCCAAGUGCAGCUCUCAGCACACUGAGAGUAGGCUAGCCAGAGUGGCAGAUGAAUGGGUUUUGGAUGGGAAGCUCGCCUGUCUCUGGCCUGAGAGCAUCCACAACCACAUCCUCACCUCUGCACCGAUAGCACAUGAUUCUGGGCCACACUUUGCCAGGUGCAGAGGAACUGUGGCCUAGCAUCCUUCCUCAGCAAGAGAGGAGUGGCUUGUGCUCUAUUUUGAGAUCCUUUCGUGAAUAGCAGUUGAGAUGUGUUACUCUUUACUGCUAAGAAUGGUGGUUAUUCCUAGUUCAUUUGACUCAGAGGUGGGGAACUGUUACAUUGCUCUAUUUAUCCCACACUCGGUAUGCAGUUACUGAAACUGUCACCAUGUCCUAUAUUCCAUAGGCUAUUAUGUGUAUUUCAAACCAUUAUAUAAAUGGACUUGAUUUGGUACUUCUGAAUGUCUUAAACUCCUCCCAUACCAGUAACAACACCGUUUCCAUAGAAACAAAUAUAUUUCAGCAAGAAAGGCACUAGGAAGAAGCAGAUGGAGCAGAGGAGAAAAACAGUGUCCCAUUGCUGCUUUCAGAGUGCUGGACCCGCUACUGUGCAAUGACCAUCCUGAGAAAGCGCUAUGAGUGCCUUCAGGUUUUUACUGACUUCCCCUCAGUAAAGUCCUGGGUAAUUCAUCUCUGCCCCCAAACACACUCAUUCCGUUACACAGCUCUGAGAACUUUAUGGCACCACAGGUCAUUAGGCACCUCGUUCAUUUCCACUCUUCUGUGCCUUCUCCAGACACUGGGGGAGGGGCCUGGAGUGAGGGUCUCAGCGUUUAGUGAGUUCAGUGAUUAGAGCUUUGAGACUAGAUGUGGGCAGAGAGGCAGAGAGGGGAGAGGAAGUUUCCUCAGGACACAGCAUAGGGAGAGACCACAAUAUCUUCUCAAUAACUGUUGCUUCCCAGGUCACUUGACCCCUCAUUAGUACAGUUGGAACGCUAGGAUGAAGACUCUUGGAGCUAAAGGAGUAUAAUAGUGUGUGUGUGUGUGUGUGUGUGUGUGUGUGUCUGUCUGUCUGUCUGUCUAACUAUCUAUCUACCUAUCUAUCUCACCUCUUUAUGAGAGUCUGUUGGAAGAGAUGGAAGAGACAGGCCCUCACAGCCAUGGCAAGGGUGUGUUUCUCAUUUUGACUCAAGCAUUGGUUGCAAUGACCUCUUUCAGGAAAGCAGCCAAGUGUUAAACUCUCCAAGAAGCUACCCUGGAUACACCUCACAUGGCAUUCAUCCUGAGUGGUGUCUCCUUCUCUGUGGCCACAGUUGAUUAUUCAUACCUGGGACAGGCAGCUGUGACACUGCUCUACCAUAUUAUGUGCUUGAUAGCUUUGGGAGCAGGGACCGCCUUCACGUGCCACAGGGCUGGCACUGUGCCUUGCACUGAGAGCCACUGGGUGAAGGCGGUCAGUCCUAAGUGGGUCAGUCCUAAGUGCCCAGCUAUACUGCCCGCAAAGUUCUUUCCAUUCAGUGAAACUUGGUAAGGAUGUUUAACCAUCAAAAGACGGUAUGGAUGACAUCCCAGCUUAUUAAACUGUGGAUCAUGACACCACUGGGGGUGGUUGUAAGAGGGUUAUAUGUGGUGAUAGAAAAGUUGGCAUCAGUGAACGAUUUCUGAGCACUCAGUGACCCAAAUACUGAACUUGAAAUCAAACAUCAGGUGUUUCUGGCAGUACUCACUUGUGUCACAUAUCUGUCAUACCAGUGUCACAUCUGUUGGAGGCACUGCGGCCUUGGUUCUAAACACAUAGCGUGUGCACUCUUCACUGCACACUGUCAGCCCACAUAGUGCCACCCAGUGCUUCCUGAGUCACCUACCUCAGCUCAGUCUUGAGAUAUCUGAGUGUCACAAAUGGUGGCCUUUUUUACUGUGCAUACAAAGUUUUAGCUCUCACAGAAACAUAACCAUUUAAUUAUGGAAGACAAAAACUUCAAUAUUUUUCUACCAUCAUUCCUUGGUGUGUAAGUAUCAAAGUGGUGUAUCUUUGGCUUGUACCGAAUCUGAGUGUUUGAUUUUUAAAAAUUGUUAUUUAAAUUGCUGAUUUGAGUUUUAUGAGAAAAACAAUACAAAACAUGAAAUGAACUUUGGCUUGGGAUUAGGACAGAAUUUCCAACAAUUCCUCAAGUGCACUAAAUAUCCUUCUGCUGUGUCACACGGUAGAUAUGCUUAUGCAAAACAGAAGUCUCAGCUCUGACAGGUUUAAGAUCAAAAUACUGAUCUGAAAGCCACUGGAUAUGUUCCACACUCUGCAGCUGCAAAUCUUUAGUCAAGAUCGAAUUCUUUAUGUAAAAAUAAGCAAGCACACCUAUCUCGUUAGC
ensembl:antisense Kirrel3os kirre like nephrin family adhesion molecule 3, opposite strand